AGUGAACGCUGGCGGUAGGCCUAACACAUGCAAGUCGAACGGCAGCACAGGAGAGCUUGCUCUCUGGGUGGCGAGUGGCGGACGGGUGAGGAAUACAUCGGAAUCUACUUUUUCGUGGGGGAUAACGUAGGGAAACUUACGCUAAUACCGCAUACGACCUACGGGUGAAAGCAGGGGACCUUCGGGCCUUGCGCGAUGGAAUGAGCCGAUGUCGGAUUAGCAAGUUGGCGGGGGAAAGGCCCACCAAGGCGACGAUCCGUAGCUGGUCUGAGAGACUGAUCGGCCACACUGGAACUGAGACACGGUCCAGACUCCUACGGGAGGCAGCAGUGGGGAAUAUUGGACAAUGGGCGCAAGCCUGAUCCAGCCAUACCGCGUGGGUGAAGAAGGCCUUCGGGUUGUAAAGCCCUUUUGUUGGGAAAGAAAUCCAGCUGGCUAAUACCCGGUUGGGAUGACGGUACCCAAAGAAUAAGCACCGGCUAACUUCGUGCCAGCCGCCGCCGUAA
rnacentral:rRNA from 1 species